GGAGCAGCUUCUGGAGAGACCGCAUGUAUGUGCGGCGCCGAAGGGUUCACAAUCUCAGGCAAAAGGACAGAAGAGUACGA
rfam:Colletotrichum gloeosporioides Cg-14 contig05502, whole genome shotgun sequence.